GCCGCCGCCGGCGCCGCCGGCCGCCGCCGGGCCGGGCCGCGUGCGCUCGCCGGACGCGGCCAGCAGCGGCAGCGGCUCGCUGGCCGACCAGGUGCUGAUGUCCGUGCAGCGCCACGACCGGGUCCAGGAGGGCCUGGACGACAGUCCCCGCCACAGCAUCGCCUCCAACAACUCCAGCAACCUGAGCUCGCCGCCCAGCCCGGGCCGCGACCGCGGCUCCUCCAGCUAUGAGAGCUAGAGCGCCGGCCGCCGCCCCGCGCGCCGCCGCCCACUGCAAUAUACCGUACUCGGAUGGCACGGUUAGUCGUUUGUACAAUCCGAUAGGCAAGUAGUGGGGCCGCGACGGCCGGGGCGCCCGGCCGCCGCGCUCACGUGCUUCGUCCGGACGCCAGUCGCGCCGGCUGCCCCUCUCGGUCGGGCUUCAGUCCUCCAGAUGUACCUCCCGGCCGGCCCAGGCGGCCCGAGCGCCCGCCCGCCCGCCCACCCGCCCUCUCGCUGCGCCUGGAUGUGAUUUACCAUGUACGGUGGACGAACUGCUCGCGUUACGUAUCAAACUGUGUAUAUACGCCUCGGUAUCUAGCAUUAUUGGAAAUAAUAUAGGUAUUUAUUAUGUAUGGUUUUCAAAUUUUAGUUGCACAUCGAUAUUUUCUACUUAAUUUAUAUGCCUCGUUUUUGGACGCGGUGAGUGCGUGUGUUUCCCAGUGCCCGUAUUCUUCUGUGCAUGUGAGCGAAUGAGUGUUCGCCGAAAGUGCUGUUUGAUAGACAAUAAAGCAUGAAAUGGAUGUGUCGAGAGUUGCAAUGUAAAUACAGAAUGCGCGAACAA